AGUGAACGCUGGCGGUAGGCCUAACACAUGCCAGUCGAACGGCAGCACAGUAAGAGCUUGCUCUUACGGGAGGCGAGUGGCGGACGGGUGAGGAAUACAUCGGAAUCUACUUUUUCGUGGGGGAUAACGUAGGGAAACUUACGCUAAUACCGCAUAAGACCUACGGGUGAAAGCAGGGGAUCUUCGGACCUUGCGCGAUUGAAUGAGCCGAUGUCGGAUUAGCUAGUUGGCGGGGUAAAGGCCCACCAAGGCGACGAUCCGUAGCUGGUCUGAGAGGAUGAUCAGCCACACUGGAACUGAGACACGGUCCAGACUCCUACGGGAGGCAGCAGUGGGGAAUAUUGGACAAUGGGCGCAAGCCUGAUCCAGCCAUACCGCGUGGGUGAAGAAGGCCUUCGGGUUGUAAAGCCCUUUUGUUGGGAAAGAAAAGCAGCAGGUUAAUACCCCGCUGUUCUGACGGUACCCAAAGAAUAAGCACCGGCUAACUUCGUG
rnacentral:rRNA from 1 species